GCCUCGCAGCCCCGCGGCGGGGAGGUGGGGGACGGAUGGAAGAGGAACGUGGAGGUCGUCGUCUGUCGCAGUAGCCCCCCGCAGGUCGUGGGCUCUCAGAUCAGUCCUCCCUUACUGGUCAACCCGCAGGAUUGGGGUGAAGGUGGCAGAGAAUGCUCAACGGCGUGGGGACUACAUGUCCCACAGUACCUCAGGAGUCCCACGCCACCACCGCCGGGGGUCUCGGUAUUACGGCAUUUAUUUUCUGAUGCCAGCUUUGCUGAACUCAUCUUAAGGUUCACUAACAGCCAGAAGGAUUCAUAAUGAUCCCUAGGCCAUCUGCUUUGCGGUUGUACCAAGGAACUGUCAUAGAAAGAAGAUACCUGCUCAAAAACACUAAUAGAUCAGUCUUGAGAAUCCAGAUCUUUUGAUGCGGUAAACUUAUUGGUAGGCAAGAUACUCCUUUCCUUUUAAUAGAAGAUUCAAAGAUGUUUAAAAAUUUUUUUUAUUUUGAAAAUAAAAUUGAUUCAUAAAGUGCAA